rnacentral:rRNA from 1 species
UGCGAAACUCGAAUGAACGAACGGAGAGAUUCAUCGUCAUUCCUCGGUGCACUUGCGUGCGUUCGAUGUUAUCGGCUUCGGUCGUUGGCACUGCGCGCGCUCGUAGCGUCCGGGGACGGCGUGCACUUCUCUCUUAGUAAUACAUCGCGACCCGUUCGAUGUCGGUCUAAGUGCCUUUCGGGAGUCUCCGUUUCUAGUUCGCUAGUUUUGGAUACCGUGAAGUGCACCGACCGGCUGUUGGACGGUAGAUUUGAUGAAACGCUCACGCGCUAGCGCGCGUCAGGCCCGACGCAAGGCAACGUCGUAUUCCGCGUCCUGCCCGAGUGCGGACGUAGAUGCGGCGCGCCUGUCGUCGCAGCCGUGCUGUCUCUGACCGUGUGCGUAUCUGUCUGCGAUGAUUCAGU